rnacentral:rRNA from 1 species
GACGGAGGGCGCAAGCGUUGUUCGGAAUCACUGGGCAUAAAGAGCACGUAGGCGGUCUGCUAAGUCGAAUGUGAAAGCCCCCGGCUCAACCGGGGAACUGCAUCCGAUACUGGCAGACUGGAGGAAGGCAGGGGUGAGUGGAACUCCAGGUGGAACGGUGAAAUGUGUAGAUAUCUGGAGGAACACCGGUGGCGAAAGCGGCUCACUGGGCCUUUCCUGACGCUGAGGUGCGAAAGCUAGGGUAGCAAACGGG